rnacentral:rRNA from 1 species
GUAGUUGGUGAGGUAACGGCCCACCAAGCCUACGAUCGGUAGCCGGACUGAGAGGUUGAUCGGCCACAUUGGGACUGAGACACGGCCCAGACUCCUACGGGAGGCAGCAUG